rnacentral:rRNA from 1 species
CUCCGGGAGGUACGAGCGGGGACACAGGAGGAUAGGCUCUGCGAAGAAAUGGGAAAUUCGUCUAAGCCUCGAGCUGUAGAAGCGCGUAGGGAAGGCCGCGCGCGGAGGUAAGGGGUGAAGGGGAGUCCAUCGAAGGGUGGGCAACGGAGCUGAGUUCACACUGUCAAGAAAAGCCGCGCGUACCGGCGAACGGAAGCCUGACCGUUCUAAAAACCGACACAGGUAGGCUAGUUGAGAAGACUAAGGGGAGCGGGAGAACCUCCGCUAAGGAACUAGGCAAAAUGGCCCCGUAACUUCGGGAGAAGGGGCGCUCCUGCGGGUUAAGAGCUAGCGGGAGCUGCAAAGACCAGGCUCUGGCGACUGUUUACCAAAAACACAGGACUCUGCGAACACGAUGAGUGGACGUAUAGGGUCUGACGCCUGUCCAGUGCUGGAAGGUUAAGGGGAGUGGUCAGCGCGAGCGAAGCUACGAACCGAAGCCCCAGUAAACGGCGGCCGUAACUAUAACGGUCCUAAGGUAGCGAAAUUCCUUGUCGGGCAAGUUCCGACCUGCAUGAAUGGCGUAACGAUCGGAGCACUGUCUCAGCGGAGGGCCCGGUGAAAUUCCAAUCUUGGUGAAGAUGCCAAGUUACCCGCGAUUAGACGGCAAGACCCCAUGAAGCUUUACUGUAUCCUAAUAUGGUAUAGUGGUGGAAGGCGUACAGGAUAGGUGGGAGGCAGCGAACGCAGCGCGUCAGCGCUGCGGGAGCCGACGGUGGGAUACCACCCUCCUUCCAGCGUUAUACUAACCGAGGUAGGUGGAGAGCCUAUCAGGGACAGUGUUAGGGGGGCAGUUUGACUGGGGCGGUCGCCUCCAAAAAGGUAACGGAGGCGCGCGAAGGUGGGCUCAGGCUGGUUGGGAAUCAGCUGGCGAGUGCAAGGGCAAAAGCCCGCCUGACAGUGAGAGAGACAUCUCGAGCUGAGACGAAAGUCGGUCCUAAUGACCAGGUGGUGCUGUGUGGAAAGGCCAUCGCUCAACGGACAAAAGCUACUCUGGGGAUAACAGGCUGAUACCGUCCGAGAGUCCAUAUCGACGACGGUGUUUGGCACCUCGAUGUCGGCUCAUCGCAUCCUGGGGCUGUAGUCGGUCCCAAGGGUUGGGCUGUCCGCCCAUUAAAGCGGUACGUGAGCUGGGUUCAGAACGUCGUAAGACAGUUCGGUCCCUAUCUGUCGCGGGCGCAGGAUACUUGAGAAGGCUUCUCCCCAGUACGAGAGGACCGGGAGGAGUGGACCGCUGGUGAACCAGUUGUGCUACCAAGCGCAUAAGCUGGGUAUCUAAGUCCAUGAGUGAUAAGCGCUGAAAGCAUCUAAGCGCGAAACAUGCUUCAAGAUGAGGUAUCCCAUCGAAAGAGUAAGGGCCGUUCGAGAACAGGACGUAGAUAGGCCGCAGGUGGAAGCGGUGCGAGCCGUGCAGCCGAGCGGUACUAAUCGCCCGAGGCCUUGACC